rnacentral:rRNA from 1 species
CCCUUAGAUGUCCUGGGCUGCACGCGCGCUACACUGAUGUGUCCAGUAAGCACCUAACCUCUUCCGAAAGGAACGGGUAACCUUUGCAAAGCACAUCGUGAUGGGGAUAGAUUAUUGCAAUUAUUAGUCUUGAACGAGGAAUUCCUAGUAAGCACAAGUCAUCAGCUUGUGUUGAUUACGUCCCUGCCCUUUGUACACACCGCCCGUCGCUCCUACCGAUUGAAUGUUCCGGUGAGCUCUUCGGACUUCGCGGUCUGCAGUUUCUGCGUUCCGUGCGGAAAGUUGCGCAAACCUUAACAUUUAGAGGAAGGAGAAGUCGUAACA